rnacentral:rRNA from 1 species
GCGAAGGGGGGACGGAGAAGGCUAUGUUGGCCGGGCGACGGUUGUCCCGGUUUAAGCGUGUAGGUGUGUGUUCCAGGUAAAUCCGGUUCACUUUAACACUGAGGCGUGACGACGAGGCACUACGGUGCUGAAGCAACAAAUGCCCUGCUUCCAGGAAAAGCCUCUAAGCAUCAGGUAACAUCAAAUCGUACCCCAAACCGACACAGGUGGUCAGGUAGAGAAUACCAAGGCGCUUGAGAGAACUCGGGUGAAGGAACUAGGCAAAAUGGUGCCGUAACUUCGGGAGAAGGCACGCUGACAC